rnacentral:rRNA from 1 species
UACGUAGGGUGCGAGCGUUAAUCGGAAUUACUGGGCGUAAAGGGUGCGCAGGCGGCGUCGCAAGUCAGGCGUGAAAUCCCCGGGCUUAACCUGGGAACUGCACUUGAAACUACGAUGCUGGAGUAUGGCAGAGGGAGGUGGAAUUCCACGUGUAGCGGUGAAAUGCGUAGAUAUGCGGAGGAACACCGAUGGCGAAGGCAAUCCCCUGGACCUGUACUGACGCUCAUGCACGAAAGCGUGGGGAGCAAACAGG